rnacentral:rRNA from 1 species
GAAUAUUCAUCAUGUAUGCAUUUCUAAUUAUAAAGGGGGUGGGGGAUGAAGAGGAAACUUUUCGAGCCACACACCGGAAUUUACUUUGAGGAAAUUAAAGUGUUCAUAGCAAUAAGUGUUUGAAUACUACAGCAUGGAAUACAAAAUAGGACUUGGUAUGUUUUGUGGAGUAGAGAACCAAAGUAAAGAUGAAUAGGGACAGUUGGGGGCAUUGGAAUUUGAUAGUCAGAGGUGAAAUUCAUGGAUUUAUCAAAGACCAACAAAGGCGAAAGCAUUUGCCAAGGAUGUUUUCAUUGAUCAAGAACGAAAGUCAGGGGAUCGAAGACGAUUAGAUACCGUCGUAGUCUUGACCGUAAACGAUGCCGACUUGGGGGAGGUGCGAGAUGAGAAGCGGAUCUCAACCAAAGGAGAAAUCAAAGUGUAUGGGUUCUGGGGGGAGUAUAGUCGCAAGGCCGAAACUUGAAGGAAUUGACGGAAGGGCACCACCAGGAGUGGAGCCUGCGGCUUAAUUUGACUCAACACGGGAAAACUUACCAGGUCCGGACAUGAUGAGGAUUGACAGAUUGAGAGCACUUUUAAGAUUUCAUGGGAGGUGGUGCAUGGCCGUUCUUAGUUGGUGGAGUGAUUUGUCAGGUUAAUUCCGAUAACGAGCGAGACCCUGUGAUGACGGUAAUGAUUGAGUAUGUAAAUACGCGAGACGUUUCUUCAUCGACACCCCA